GGUAUCAUGUUAUGCAAGUAUGUAUAUAUACAAAUUAAUAUAUUCUUUAUAUUAAAAAAAUUUUUGAUGGAAAAAGUUAUUUGAUGUCUCUGUUUUCAGGCUAUUGUCCGUUGGCUUUCAAAGACAGACUCUGGAAUCAGUGGACCAUCAAAUACUGAUGUCAGAUCAGAAAUAAUUUCCUUCAUCAGAAAGAUGAAGCUUUGUGCAACACUUCAAGAUUUUAAGUCAGCUGCUGAGCAAUUCCUAAAGAGGUUUGAAGAUUUCCCAGCUCUUUGCUCAUACUUCAAGGAUCACUGGCUGGAAAUAGGACACACAUGGUCUGACUUUGGACGGUGCUACAACCAUGCCGACUCCGAUACAAACAAUCUUGUUGAAAGAUUUUUCCAUCGCCUAAAAUAUCAGUUUUUGGGUGGCAUAAGGAACCGUAGACUGGAUGAUCUUAUCAGCAUUCUCGUCAAGAAGACAGAUGGAUACUUCCAGGUCAUUCAUGAUUUACAGGCAGUUGGAAGAAUGAAAAAUGCCUCUUUGAAGUCAGGAGAAAUACUUAAGUCAGCCUCUAGA